UCCUGAACUCAUCAGAUUCAUGCGGCUGCGGCUUGUUUGUAGUAUCGGCGAAAAGAAUUUCUUGAACAUCUGCGAAAAUGUUAAAGUAUGUAAAAUAGUGGCUGAACUUAAACAUAUGCUUUUAUUAAAACUGGUGCUCUGCUGUGCCAAGGGACAUUUCGAAACAUUUCACCAGUUACUUUCGUUUACUGCAUAGACCUUUAUGUCCUAUAAAUGUGUCAUAUUCGUAUUUGUGUGACAGUCCACGCAGCUUUCAGUGGGCAGGGCUAUUGGUAUUAUUAAUAAAGAAACAUGAAUGAAUGAGAAAGUAAAGAGCAGGACGUGGUUGAUAUUAAAAAUAAAAUUAAAUACUGGCAGGAUGUUUCUAUGCGCAUACUCUGAGUGUAAGACAGACAAGCAUUGAAGCCUCUGUUUGCACGUCUAAUUGGUCAAAUACACCGUGUGAGCCAGAAAGUGAGCUAAUGUAUAUCACACAAAAAGCAAAGUGCAAACUAUUCUCAAGAGACAAAUUUCAGCAUAACAUGCUGGUAACGGUAGGCUAUCCUAACUGUCUUAAUUUAUUCCUUUAUUUAUUUUGUGGACCAUAAAUAUAGUAAAACAAAUGAGAAGAAUAGUAUUUCGUGUUAAACAGGUUGGUUUUUAAAAUGCAUCUAAGGGUGCUUUCACACUUGGUUUGAUUGCCUGGACCGAACGCGAGUUCAAUUGUUCUCCCCUCUCCCUGCGGCCACUGGACUGUGUUCACAUUAUAUUAUUUGGGUCCGAACCACGGUUCGUUUUCGUCAUCAAACCAGCAGCUGUUGACUACGUUGCUUAAUAACGAUGGCACAGGAGAAGUCGGCAAAAUGCAUAACGUUGCUCUCCUCACCAUUUUUGUUUUUGAACCGUAGGUUUUGUUCAUAACGGAACUUGCAUCUAUCUCCCACGAAUGUAGAAUGCUGAAGGCGAGCAGAAAUGAGAAAAGUUAUGCUACAGCUCUCUGUUUGCAGCACGUCAGUCACGCUCGUCGGGAAAGUUACCAUAGUCAGCUGGAUCCCCUCCAAAUCCAGAUCAGAUGGUGGACCUGCAUCUUGGCAUGACCACGACGCAAGCCUAAAUGUCAACGAAGACCAUGUCAACUAGACAAGCCAGACAGAUCCCCUGUGAGAACUUCGUUGACAGCCAUCGGCAAAGAUCCUCAGCAAAGACCACAAGAACCAGACAAGUCCUCUGCACAGACCCCUACGGCUAGCUUCAACUCUAUGCCGGCGUGUUGUAUCUUGAUCUUCAAACUGAUGGAACCAUAUGAAAUAUUCUAGAUUAUACCAAUCCACAAUCUGACUUGUGUUGCUGCCUGAAUCACAUCACACCAUAUUCGUUCAUUGGCCAGAGGAGAACUGGUCCCUGACUGAGCCUGGUUUCUCCCAAGGUUUUUUUUUCUUCUCCAUUUUUGUAACCUGAUGGAUUUUGGGUUCCUUACCCCUGUUGCCUUUGGCUUGCUAAGUUUGGGACACUUAAUAUUCAGCAAUAAUAUUGAUUUGAUUGCACUGACACUAUCAUAUGAGAACUGAACUGAGCUGGACGAUGACAUCACUGUUUUUUGCAGAGCUGCUUUAUAACAAAUUGAACUGAUUUCAUAAUUGAUUAACUUUAUACAGCUAUUGAACAGAACUGAAUUAAAACAUACUGACUUCAGCUGAACAAUGACACUAUUUCUUUUAGAGCUGCUUUACAGCAGAAUUGAACUGGAAUAAUUGAAUCAUUCUCCUGUUUAUACCUGUAAAGCUGCUUUGAAACAGUCUAUAAAGUGUUAAAUUAAAGGUGACUUGACUUUUGAAAUA